rnacentral:rRNA from 1 species
GAAUCUCGGCAACGGAUAUCUCGGCUCUCGCAUCGAUGAAGAACGUAGCGAAAUGCGAUACUUGGUGUGAAUUGCAGAAUCCCGUGAACCAUCGAGUCUUUGAACGCAAGUUGCGCCCGAAGCCGUCAGGCCGAGGGCACGCCUGCCUGGGCGUCACGC